UGGUCAUAUCAUACCAAUUUGACAAUGCCCAUCAUCUUUCUGCUGAUCUUGGAAGCUAAGCAGGGUUGGGUCUGGUUAGCACUGGAUGGGAGAACCCUGAGAAUACCAG
rnacentral:rRNA from 1 species